rnacentral:pre_miRNA from 1 species
UAAAUACUCCCUCCGUUCGGAAUUACUCGUCCAAGAAAUGAAUGUAUCUAGAUGUGUUUUAGUUGUAGAUACAUCCAUUUUUGUGACAAGUAAUUCCAAAUGGAGGGAGUACAAC